UACAGAGGUCCCAAGCGUUGUUCGGAUUCACUGGGCGUAAAGGGUGCGUAGGCGGUCGGGUAAGUCUGAUGUGAAAUCUCCAAGCUCAACUUGGAAAUGGCAUCGGAUACUAUUCGGCUCGAGGAAUGGAGGGGAGACUGGAAUACUUGGUGUAGCAGUGAAAUGCGUAGAUAUCAAGUGGAACACCGGUGGCGAAGGCGGCUUCCUGGACCGACACUGACGCUGAGACGCGAAAGCGUGGGGAGCAAACAGG
rnacentral:rRNA from 1 species